GCCUAAGGGUGAGUCUGCGGACUAUCAGGCUGUAGUCAGGGUAAUGACCUGACUAACCUACGACGGAUACGGGUUGUGAGAGCAAUAACCCGGAGACGAUAUCUGAGACACGAUAUCGGGCCCUACGGGGCGCAGCAGGCGCGAAACCUUCACACUGUGCGAAAGCGCGAUGAGGGAAUCCCAAGUGCUUGCUCGUAAGAGUAAGCUGUUUUUGUGUAUAAAAAGCAUAGAGAGUAAGGGCUGGGUAAGACGGGUGCCAGCCGCCGCGGUAAUACCUGCAGCUCAAGUGGUGACCACUAUUAUUGGGCCUAAAACGUUCGUAGCCGGUCUUUUAAAUGCCUGGGUAAAUCGAGCCGCUUAACGGUUCGAAUUCCGGGUAGACUGGAAGACUUGAGACCGGGAGAGGCUAGAGGUACUCCUGGGGUAGAGGUGACAUUCUGUAAUCCUGGGGGGAC
rnacentral:rRNA from 1 species